CCAAAGACAUAGCCCUAGAAAAAAUCUAAGGUGUAACCUGCCCAGUGGUUCUAAAAUAAAUUUAUGAAAUAAAUAUAAUAGGACUAAAAGGACGCGGUAACCUUGACCGUGAUAAUGUAGCAUAAUCACUCGCCAUUUAAUUGGUGGAUAGUAUGAAUGGUUGAACGAAUAUCCCACUGUCUUAAAGAGAACUAAGAGAAAUUGGAAUAAUAGUUAAGAUGCUAUUUUAAACUGUAAGACGAAAAGACCCUAUAGAGCUUAACUAUAAUCUCUAUUAUUCAAACAAAUAAUUAAUUUGUAAAUCAUAGAGAUUGGUAGUUUAGUUGGGGCGACUAUCUUUUAAAUUAAACAAAGAUAAGCAAUGUUAAUAAAAGAUUUAUUGUAUAAUUAAUUUAUUUAACAAUUAUGAAAAUAGGCUAUAAUGACCCGUUAGUAUUUUAUAAACAAAUUAACGAUCAAUUGAUAAAAGCUACCUUAGGGAUAACAGGAUAAUUUCAUUUUAGAGCUCCUAUCGAAAAUGAAGUUUGUCACCUCUAUGUUGAAUUAAGAUAUCCUGGUAAUGCAGAAGUUACCAAAGGUAGGUCUGUUCGACCUUUAAAAUCUUACAUGAUUUGAGUUCAUUCCGUCGCAAGACAGGAAGGUUUCUAU
rnacentral:rRNA from 1 species